rnacentral:lncRNA from 1 species
UGAAGACACAGACACAGAAGAAAGAUGGCCAUGUGAAUUUAGAGGUAGAGACUGGAGUUAUGCUGCCACAAGCCAAAGACACCUGGGGCUACCAGAAGCUGGAAGAGGCAAGGAAGGGUCAUUCUCUAGAGACUUUGGAAGAAGUUGACCCUGCCAGCAUCUUGAUUUUGGACUGCUAGCCUCCAGAACUGUGAGAGAAUAAAUUUCUAUUGUUUAAGCCACUAGUCUGUGGCAGCCAUAGUAAACGAAUAAAAUAGGUUUCAAGAAUUAGGAUGUGGGCAUUGUUAGGAGCUAUUAUUCUACCAACCACACCACAGACUCAAGAAGUUCAAGAAACCCCAAGCCCAAGAAACUUGAAGAAAAGUACACCAAGGCACAUCAUAAUUAAGUUGUUGAAAAUCACCGAUAAAAACAAAAGGUCUAGAAGCAGUCAGAGCAAAGAGACACCUUACAUACAGAGGAACAAAGGAGUACAUUCUAGAAGCAGAUUCUAAUCAGAAACAAUGCCAGUGAGAAGUGAUUAGAACAAUAUCUUAAAAGUCCUGAAAGAUAAAAACUAUCAACCUUGAAUUCUAUACCCAGCAAAAAUAUCCUUUGAAAGUGAAUGCAGAUAGACAUUUUCAGACGUACAAAAGCUGAAAACAUUCAUCACCAGCAGACCACAGCUAGAAGAAAUGUUUAAGUCUUUCAGGUGGAAAGAAAAUGAUCCUAGAUGGAAAUCUGGAUCUACAUUAAGGAUGGAAGAACACCAGAAAUGGUAACUACACAGGAUGCUGUCCUCAUCUCCCUGCUGAAGCUGACUCACCACCACUAUGUGUUUUUUUCACAAAGGAAAACGAGCAAGUAGAAGAGAAGCAGCUUUUUUUAAAAAAAUAUUAUUUUAUUGAAGUCAUAUUGGCGUACAACAUUGUGUAAAUUUCAGGUGGACACUAGCAUAUUUCAGUUUCUGUAUAGAGUGUUUCAUGUUCACCACCAAUAGUCUAGUUUUUAUCUGUCACCAUACAUAUGUGCCCCUUUACCCCCUUUGCCCACCUGUCACACCCUUUCCCCUCUGAUAACCACCAACAUGCUUUCCCUUUCUAUGUGUUUGUUUAUCUUCUACAUAUGAGUGACAUCAUAUGGCAUUUGUCUUUCUCUGGUUGACUCACUUUGCUGAGCAUAAUACCAUCAAAGUCAAUCCAUGUUGUUGCAAGUGGCACGAUUUUGUCUUUUUUUAUGGCUGAGUAGUAUUCUGUUGUAUAUAUAUACAUCACAUCUUCUUUAUCCAUUCAUCCACUGAUGGGCACUUGGGUUUCUUCUAUGUCUUGGCCAUUGUGAAUAAUGCUGCGAUGAACAUAGGGGGAGAAGCAGCUUUUUUAAGUGACACAAGCUGUAUAUUAUCUCUUCAGCUCAUGUCCAGCUGGCCAGAGCUUAGCUGCAAAGGAAGCUGGAAACAUCUCUAGCUGUAUGGCCUUGGUCCAUGCCCAAACUCCUGGGGGUCAGCUAAGGAAAGACAAAGAUUAGAAUGGAUAUCAGAAGACAAUUAGCUUCAGUAAAAGUGCUGUGGUUUCUCUCACGAGAAGGAAUGAAAUUUGGACUUUAAGGGCUCAUAAAACUUUGGGAGGCAUUUGUUUACUUAACAACCACCAUAUACUGAGGCUGUGAUGUUUUCCUCAUGGUCAUACAGUCCAGUUGGAAAGAUAGGCGAUCAAAUAGAAAUUAAUAACAGCAUGGGAAGAUAUUGUGAAUGAGGAGAUUACAAAUACUGCGAGCUCACAGAGCAGAAGGACUUAACCUAGUCAAGGGACAGAAGGAUCAGUGAUGGUUUUCUGGGGGAUGGAUGCUGGGCUGAGACUUCUGUGCAAGGUCCUGUUUGGGUGGAAUCCACAUUCCAAGGGUGGGAAUCAGACACACGGUGUAACUUUAAUGAAUCUUCCAAAGACAGAAGUCAUUUACAAGGCUGCUGCAAGAAAUCUUAACUCAAGGCAGGAGCAAAGGGAAAGCUAUGUAGAAUUUAUCCAAAAAGGAAGAAGGAUUACUGAGCUGGGAGGAAAUUUUCUUGGCACCAGUCUUGUAGCAAAGUAUAGAAUCAUGAUGAGCCCCAGAUUCUGGGUCAUCUGCAGUGGUUUGAAACAUGGACCUGGUUAUUGUUUGGCUACAUGCACCAAUAAAUCGAUCAAGCCUUUCAACAAGAAUUAGAAUAUUCCUAUAAUUCCCCAUUAAUCACGUCUUUUGGAAAGGUAGGAAGUGGUAGGAAACACAUCUGUUUGGUUGUUUGGCACCAAAGUAUUUGCUCUCCUAGUGUUUAUCUGGUGUUUCCUUACUAAAAAAUGUUGUAAGUUUGAAUCAUGAUGAAAUCUAUUCUAUUUGGAGAGUUGCUUCUGAGAAUGGAUAGCAAAUUGUCCUAAAAAAAAAAGUCGGGGAAAAAUAUUGGAAGAUAAUGAUCGGGUAGGAAUGGGGGA